UCCUGGUGGCUCAGAGGGUAAAGCAUCUGCCUGCAAGGUGGGAGACCCAGGUUCGAUCCCUGGGUCGGGAA
rnacentral:tRNA from 1 species